AAACUUUUUAUUUACAGUCAAACUUGAUUUAUUAUUACAAUAGUCAAAACUUUCAACAACGGAUCUCUUGGUUCUCGCAUCGAUGAAGAACGCAGCGAAAUGCGAUACGUAAUAUGAAUUGCAGAUAUUCGUGAAUCAUCGAAUCUUUGAACGCACAUUGCGCCCUUUGGUAUUCCAAAGGGCAUGCCUGUUUGAGCGUCAUUU
rnacentral:rRNA from 1 species